rnacentral:rRNA from 1 species
UACGUAGGGAGCAAGCGUUGUCCGGAAUCAUUGGGCGUAAAGGGCGCGUAGGCGGUUUGCUAAGUUGGAUGUGAAAACUCUGGGCUUAACCCAGAGCCUGCAUCCAAAACUGGCAAACUUGAGUACUGGAGGGGAAAGCGGAAUUCCUGGUGUAGCGGUGAAAUGCGUAGAUAUCAGGAGGAACACCGGUGGCGAAGGCGGCUUUCUGGACAGUAACUGACGCUGAGGCGCGAAAGCUAGGGGAGCAAACAGG